rnacentral:rRNA from 1 species
GGUUGAUCCUGCCAGUAGUCAUAUGCUUGUUUCAAAGAUUAAGCCAUGCAAGUCUAAGUAUAAGCUUUUUAUACGGCAAAACUGCGAAUAGCUCAUUAUAACAGUUAUAAUUUACACGAAGAUCAAUCUUAAAUGGAUAUCCAUGGUAAUUCUGGAGCUAAAACAUGCUAAAACACUGAUUUCCGUCAGUGGCAGUCAUUAGUUCUGAGACUCAACCAGGUUUCGGCCUGCUUUGGUGAUCGUGAUGACAGAGUAGAUCGCAUUCAUAGCGAUAGUUCGUCCAAGUUUCUGA